GCAAUGUGCGUUAUAAGCACAUGCCGGUUUAUUAAUUUUUUGUAAUGAAUAACAUAAUUAUUAAUAUAACAAAUUAUUAAGGAAACUAAUGUUCGUAAAAGUAAUUAUUAAGAAAAUUGUUCGCACAGAAAGGGUGGGGGUAAUUCAAACGCCCACCACUAAGAACUAGUAUACAUAUCAAAAGGAAUUGCGCCAGAAAACGGGGAGGAGGGUGGGUAAACUUGAUUUCCGAUGGAGAUGUUUUGCAGCCAACGUGCAGAGCAGAAUGAACCGAUCCCGCAUUCUAGUUCAACUAAAUAC